UUGGUAGCACUUGUAAGUUCAUACAGAUAUGAUGGAUCAAAAACUAAUGAUCGGGCAAUUAAAUUGGACACUCAAAAACUCGAAAAAUCCAUUAGUAUUGGUGACAAGAAGCAGCUAAUCAAAGAUGAAGAGAUCGUAAGGAUUCUAACAACAAGAAGCAAGAUUCAUCUCAUGGCUGUCAUCAAAUGUUACCAGGAGACUUUUAACAAGAACAUUAUAGAGGAUCUUGAUGAGGAAUCAAGUUUGAAGGACACAAUUUAUUGCUUGUGUGAUCCUCCACAGUAUUUCAGUAAGAUUUUAGAUUCAGCAACGAAAGCUAAUGCAAACAAGAAUGAAAAAGAAGCCCUAACUCGAGUUAUUGUAACCCGAGC